rnacentral:rRNA from 1 species
GAUGUUAGCGGCGGACGGGUGAGUAACACGUGGGUAACCUGCCUGUAAGACUGGGAUAACUCCGGGAAACCGGGGCUAAUACCGGAUGGUUGUUUGAACCGCAUGGUUCAAACAUAAAAGGUGGCUUCGGCUACCACUUACAGAUGGACCCGCGGCGCAUUAGCUAGUUGGUGAGGUAACGGCUCACCAAGGCGACGAUGCGUAGCCGACCUGAGAGGGUGAUCGGCCACACUGGGACUGAGACACGGCCCAGACUCCUACGGGAGGCAGCAGUAGGGAAUCUUCCGCAAUGGACGAAAGUCUGACGGAGCAACGCCGCGUGAGUGAUGAAGGUUUUCGGAUCGUAAAGCUCUGUUGUUAGGGAAGAACAAGUACCGUUCGAAUAGGGCGGUACCUUGACGGUACCUAACCAGAAAGCCACGGCUAACUACGUGCCAGCAGCCGCGGUAAUACGUAGGUGGCAAGCGUUGUCCGGAAUUAUUGGGCGUAAAGGGCUCGCAGGCGGUUUCUUAAGUCUGAUGUGAAAGCCCCCGGCUCAACCGGGGAGGGUCAUUGGAAACUGGGGAACUUGAGUGCAGAAGAGGAGAGUGGAAUUCCACGUGUAGCGGUGAAAUGC